rnacentral:rRNA from 1 species
AUUGAACGCUGGCGGCAGGCUUAACACAUGCAAGUCGAGCGAGCGGCGGACGGGUGAGCAAUGACUGGGAAACUGCCUGAUGGAGGGGGCUAACUACGGGAAACGGUAGCUACUACCGCCUACCACAACAUGGGCACAGAUGGGAAUGGCUCGUAGGUGGGGUAAAGGCUCACCAAGGCGACUAUCCCUAGCUGGUCUGAGAGGAUGACCAGCCACACUGGAACUGAGACACGGUCCAGACUCCUACGGGAGGCAGCAGUGGGGAAUAUUGCACAAUGGGCGCAAGCCUGAUGCAGCCAUGCCGCGUGUGUGAAGAAGGCCUUCGGGUUGUAAAGCACUUUCAGCGAGGAGGCGUUACUCGCAGAAGAAGCACCGGCUAACUCCGUGCCAGCAGCCGCGGUAAUAC